UACGGAGGGUGCAAGCGUUAAUCGGAAUUACUGGGCGUAGAGGGUGCGUAGGCGGUUGUUUAAGUCUGUCGUGAAAUCCCCGGGCUCAACCUGGGAAUGGCGAUGGAUACUGGCGAGCUAGAGUGUGUCAGAGGAUGGUGGAAUUCCCGGUGUAGCGGUGAAAUGCGUAGAGAUCGGGAGGAACAUCAGUGGCGAAGGCGGCCAUCUGGGACAACACUGACGCUGAAGCACGAAAGCGUGGGGAGCAAACAGG
rnacentral:rRNA from 1 species